rnacentral:lncRNA from 1 species
GGAGCACCUUUCAGCAACUCCUUCUUGCCAAACUGAGGAGAGAAAUACCACCAGUCUUUUGUCGAAGGGUGAUGCUUGAAGGUAUAGAAAUGCCUAAACAGAGAGAGGGAUGGUUGAACCUCGACUACGUGGCAAAGGAAGAGGAAUCCUAUCAAAAACCUAAAAAUAUUCGGAGCAACUGAAGCUAAAGAGAUAUCUAAGA